CUUCUUUGCAAAUACGAGAGGGACAUCCUGCAGUCCAGAACAGACAUGUCAUAGACAAACCCUCCACUAAAUCAAUAAAAAGGUUGUCCACUGCCUGCUUUUUCCUCCCAAGGAAGAAUUUUAAAAAUUUCAUCAGAUCAACAACAGCUAUGGCAGCAAACAUUUUUCAGCUGAGUCCUGCUGGGAUAACGGCUCUCCCAUGAUGCCAAGCGGCUCUGCUGUGAAGGACAGAAGUGAGGAUUUGCUUACGACAUCCAAAUAUGGUGAAUCCAUUUGCUCCGAGUUGACAAAUGAACUGGAGGUCCCAGGUUUCCUGAUUCAUCGYCUGUUGUCCCCAUUACCACCACCGCGUCUGACUGACUCACUGGUAUCUGCAAAUGUCAUUCCUCAGUCUGGAGACUGAGAUGUUCCACCCCCUCCCCCAUCAGAAGCCUAUUAAUUAUCUAUGGCCACACAAUCAAUCACCCUGAAUCUAAGGGACUUAAGAGCGUAAUGACAAAGGUUUCUUGGUCUGCAUCUUAGACAUCACAGUCCUGGGAACCACAGCGGGCCCCACAACAAAGAUGAAAGGGGAGAAAGAGGAUCUCACUAAUCGUCUCCAGAGCUGUAGCCCAGUGGGCGAAGGUCGUGAUAAAGGACGGGGCGGGAAGAGAUUAGAGGACCGCACAUGAAAGGGGUUGAAAAACAUCACCCAGUCACGAAGAAAAGAAAAUGSACCCCUGUUUCAGAGGGAGUCCCCACAACGUGCCCUUCCCUUUCGCAAUGACAUCAGAAGACUUUAUAUCAGACUGUUUUCUGUCAAAUGCUGGACCCCGACAGAUUCUGGCAUAUGGAAUGUGGUUUGUCUUUUAAUUCACUGGGGUUUUCUCACUCAGCUUCACCAAAUGGUGGCUGUAAUUAUGGCAGUAAAUGUCUCUCAAAUGACAGAUCUCUCUCUCUCUCUUUUUCUUCCUCCUUAAAAGAGUGAACAUUUUAACAAGGAUGUCGGGGAUAACAGAAAGAAACACACACUCCAAGGGCUUCUUAGACGGCAAGCCAUUUCACGACUCAG